rnacentral:ncRNA from 1 species
AAUUUUCUAGAAGAAAAGAUGAACUUCCUAAUGUCUGACGACACUUCGUCGUUCCCUAUUUCUUUACGAAAAUU